rnacentral:rRNA from 1 species
AGUGAACGCUGGCGGUAGGCCUAACACAUGCAAGUCGAACGGCAGCACAGUAAGAGCUUGCUCUUACGGGUGGCGAGUGGCGGACGGGUGAGGAAUACAUCGGAAUCUACUUUUUCGUGGGGGAUAACGUAGGGAAACUUACGCUAAUACCGCAUACGACCUACGGGUGAAAGCAGGGGAUCUUCGGACCUUGCGCGAUUGAAUGAGCCGAUGUCGGAUUAGCUAGUUGGCGGGGUAAAGGCCCACCAAGGCGACGAUCCGUAGCUGGUCUGAGAGGAUGAUAGGGCCAAAUGGAAAUGAGAAACGGUCCAGAAUCCCAAGGGAGGCAGGAGGUGGGAAUUUUGCGAAAUGGGCGAAAGCCUGAAGCAACAAAGACGGGGGAGUGAAGAAGGUCUUCGGGUUGGAAAACCCUUUUAUUUGGGAAGAAAAAACGUGUGUGUAACUCCCCGCUUUUUGAGGGGACCCAAAAAAAAAGCCACCGCUAACUUCGGG